GAGUAGCUGGGAUUACAGGCGUGUGCCACCAUGCCCGGCUAAUUUUUGUGUUUUUAGUAGAGACCGGGGAAGGUAUGGGCCCUCUUUUGAGAAAAAUGCAGAGUGACACUGAAUUUUGUAACUACAUCAGGAGGCUCUUGAACCUUCUGCAGCUCACUCGUGGAGUUUGUAGAGAUGCGUAAUAAUCCGAAGUGUUAAGGAAGAAGGUUCUGUUGAGAAAAAGUUGGAGGGCUGAAAGGGAUGCCUUUCGCUAUUUCGACAUGUGUGGCUGUACCCCAGAGUGCCCUGGCUAACACGCAAAACCAUGAAUUAGGCGGCUUGGCGAGGCUCAGUGGAGGCUGGGGCCGAGAGUCAUGUCAAAGUUUGUGGGGUUAACCUGCACCCAGUGACAGUCAUGGCGAAGUUUGUGAGGUUAACUCGCACCCAGUAACGCUGUUCCAAUGCAAGGUGUGUAUUUGGUGUCAUCCACGGGAAGAGGAAACAGCAAAUUUUCUCAUGGCCUUGGCAGUUCCACAUGAUGGACAUUUCAUAUCUGCAGUUUUCUUCGCAUGAGAUGGCUUUUUUGCACAAAAACACUGGAAUCCAGUGAGCAAGAAUGAUAGAAUGCAAGAUGGAUUUCCACAUGAGGAAGUGUCACGAACAAGCGUUUUGCAUCUCUGUCAGCUGGAUUCCCCCAUGUGUACGUAUGUGAGAACAUGCCGUGUUUCCUGUCUGUAAUGGUAGAGGCAGCCCUGAUACUGGAUUUUCACCUGAGGAUGGAUAGAUCUUCAGGGUUCAAGUGGGUUUGCAUCUGGACUUUAGGGUGGCCCUGUAGGCCCUGUGUGAGAAGCCCCCUUCCCAGUGAACUUUCCCUUGUGUGCCCGCGUGGACAGCCAACAGGGGGAGCAGUGCGAGCGUGAAGGCAGACAGUGGCCUGGCCCAGUCUGAUGGGAGAGACCCACCGACCCUGUGGGGCUGGUCCCUACAUCUGGCGCUCUGACGUGGGGCUCUCCCUCGCUGUGUGAAGUUGCACCCUGAGUGCGGGAUCAGCGGAGGAGUUCAACGAGAGAUUCCUGAGGAUUGCAGUCUAUAAACUUGGUGGGGUUUUGUUUGUGUUUCCCCAGGAAAAGAACUACAGCCUGUGUGGGUCCCCUCCCGACAAUUAAAAUUGCACCAUAACUCCAAAGAUGAAACGCUCCCAGAAAGAAAAGGCAAAGACCCAUCGGAAACAAAAGAGCAACUUUCACCGCCUGAUACAUACACUUCAUGACAUCCACAUUGAGACAAAAUCUCGCCGUGUGACCUACAACACCUCUCGUUCAACCCCACCUACUUGGGGUCGAAUACAGAUUUUAUCUCAUCAAACAGAAAAAUUCUUAACAGAAAAAGGAAUCCCAAAAAUGACUGGUAAUAUAAUUCUGGCUGCCUUUAUGGUAGUCAGUGCAGCGUCUGCAGAUGCCUCUAAGGAGUCCGAAACCAAGUCCGAAGUCAACAACAAGCAAUGAUGGCGAUGGCGAUUCUAGUUAAUAAAAAGGGGGGAGAUGUGGGCGGCAAGCCACCCAGGCACCGAGGCAAGAGACAGAGGACACGAGCUGUUCCAGUAUAAUAAAAUAUAAAACAAGAA
rnacentral:lncRNA from 1 species